GCAAGGCCGGCACCUCUGGAAAAUGUAAACACAUUUGUGCCGUUGUAAUCUAUAUCAAUUCUGAUGAUAGUGCAAUAUCAAAAACAAGUUUCUUGCAACAAUGGGGCCAACCGACUUCGAAGCAAAUGUCGGAAUACGAUAAAGGUGCAUGAAUAAGUACUCUUUACAAUGUUCCAGCUUUGGGUAAAAACGCCGCAGCGAUAGCACCGAUCAGAUUGUUUUCCUCAAUUCUGGAAAUUCUUCCUCAAACACCCCUCUACACUCAUAUGAAGUUGAAAGAACGGUAUACAGAAGAAACUGUCGCUGCUGAAACACUUAUUUCGAUGGACCAAAUCCUGAAGACAGAGCAAUUGGUCUCCGAAGCUUCAACGGUUGUUAGAGAAAUUUCAAGGAAACAACCCAUGGGUGUAGUGUAUUCACAGCCUAAUGUUGUUGAUUAGAAAGUUUGGAACUUUUUCAAGGAAAAUGUGAUGUGUGAUGAGGAUAAAGUGCUCAAGAUUUGCAUUGAAACUAUUCAGUAAUCACUCGAUAAAAAGUGGUUCAAACGACGACGUUUUCGUAUCACUGCCAGUACAAAUCAUAGAGCGAAAGCAAAAUCUAAGGACGUUGAUAAAUUGGUCGAUGAACGAUUGACCAAAAAAACGAUAGAAACUUCUGCGAUGACAUAUGGGAAAAAGACUGAAGAAGUUGCGCUGCGACAAUACCGAAAAAGAUCAUCUCGAUGUCGGAAGUCACGUGAUCCGAGUGGGCUUGAUCAUCUACCUUCUCUAGCCCUGGUUAGCGUGUUCACCUGAUGGAGUCGUUGCUACUGAUAAUGGCUGUGAUGAAAAAUUAUUAGAAAUAAAGUGCCCAAGCCCAUGUAAAGGAGAUGAAAAUGGAAUACAGUUAAGAGUCCAAUCAAAUAUACACACAUGUACAAAUUGAAAUGUACGUGACAAAUAUACGUGUUUGUGAUCUUUAUGUAUACUCUCCCUGCGGGAGAGUACAUUGGUGAAAAUAGCCAGAAAUUCGAUUUUUUUAAGGGAAGCAGUGGUAAGGCUUGAAACUUUUUAUUAUAACUACUAUUUACCAAAGUUGGCUGAAGUUGCUCAAUAUUCUACUAGAGGUGGAUAAUUCCUAUAUUAUUCUGUAAAUCUUAAUAUAUUUGUAAACUUUUGACAUAUUAAGGGAGAUCAGGGUAGCGUAAAAAGUAUGAGUCAGACAUUUAAAGUGUUAAAUAUGUGAAGAGUCAGUGUCGUCGAAAUCACAAAAUAUACUAUCUCAAUGAAGUA